rnacentral:tRNA from 1 species
GAUCUAUGGGCCUUUGCAUAGCGGUCUUGAAAACCGCCGACUGUAACAGGUCCUAGAGUUCGAAUCUCUACGCCUCCGCCA